rnacentral:rRNA from 1 species
GAUGAACGCUGGCGGCGUGCCUAAUACAUGCAAGUCGAGCGAACAGACGAGGAGCUUGCUCCUCUGACGUUAGCGCCGGACGGGUGAGUAACACGUGGAUAACCUACCUAUAUGACUGGGAUAACUCCGGGAAACCGGAGCUAAUACCGGAUAACAUGUUGAACCGCAUGGUUCACCAGUGAAAGACGGUCUUGCUGUCACUUAUAGAUGGAUCCGCGCCGCAUUAGCUAGUUGGUGAGGUAACGGCUUACCAAGGCAACGAUGCGUAGCCGACCUGAGAGGGUGAUCGGCCACACUGGAACUGAGACACGGUCCAGACUCCUACGGGAGGCAGCAGUAGGGAAUCUUCCGCAAUGGGCGAAAGCCUGACGGAGCAACGCCGCGUGAGUGAAGAAGGUCUUCGGAUCGUAAAACUCUGUUAUUAGGGAAGAACAAAUGUGUAAGUAACUAUGCACGUCUUGACGGUACCUAAUCAGAAAGCCACGGCUAACUACGUG